GGCCUACGGGGGGCAGCAGUGGGGAAUAUUGGGCAAUGGGCGCAAGCCUGACCCAGCAACGCCGCGUGAAGGAAGAAGGCUUUCGGGUUGUAAACUUCUUUUGACAGGGAAGAGUAGAAGACGGUACCUGUCGAAUAAGCCACGGCUAACUACGUGCCAGCAGCCGCGGUAAUACGUAGGGGGCUAGCGUUAUCCGGAAUUACUGGGCGUAAAGGGUGCGUAGGUGGUUUCUUAAGUUAGAGGUGAAAGGCUAGGGCUCAACCGUAGUAAGCGUUUGAAACUGGGUAACUUGAGUGCAGGAGAGG
rnacentral:rRNA from 1 species